rnacentral:rRNA from 1 species
UACGUAGGGUGCGAGCGUUGUCCGGAAUUAUUGGGCGUAAAGAGCUCGUAGGCGGUGUGUCACGUCGGCCGUGAAAACCUGCAGCUUAACUGUGGGCGUGCGGUCGAUACGGGCAUCACUGGAGUUCGGCAGGGGAGACUGGGAUUCCUGGUGUAGCGGUGAAAUGCGCAGAUAUCAGGAGGAACACCGGUGGCGAAGGCGGGUCUCUGGGCCGAUACUGACGCUGAGGAGCGAAAGCGUGGGGAGCGAACAGG